GGGGGCCGGACUGCUCGGGGUUAGGCUGGGCAUCGGUCAGCGAGUGCUGUCACAAGGCCCAUCUUUGCUGGGCUAUGCUAGUGUUUCAAGACUUUGGGAUGAAGCACAUUGCAUUUCCUGGUCUGUUACAAUGCUUGCUGAAACCAGGGGACACCACUGACGUCAGAGCUUGCAUCCCAUCUCUGCAGCACAGAUCCUCGUUACCAGACCUGCAGAGCAAUACCAUUUCAACGUCCAUGAAGGACUCGCCUCUGGGCUUCCUCCCAAGAGUGCUGGGAGCCAGAGGACAACUCCAGACCUGCAUGGAGGAGAUCACAGGCAGGAUAGGCAGGCUGUGACUGCUCUUCCACAAGCUUAAAGUAAUAUUUAGGUGACAGUGUUUUGUGGAAGGGAGGCAUUACUAGUCACGGCUUGGAUUAGAGACAGGAAAAAAGUGAAGCAAAUACAGCUUGGAGUGGAAAAUAGUAUAGCUUGUGGCACUUUUUAUUUAUUUUUUUUUUCCCAGCAUUUAUGUACGAUCAUUCAAAAACAUUGUUUCUUAUUGCUGCAUGUCCUCUAAAAGCAUUUUGUGGCCAGCUGUCUCCCACUUCACUGCGUGCAGUCGACACUGCAUUUGGGGAAACAGAUUCCAGCCUCUGCCUCAAGUUUGCUGCCCAACCCACCCCAAAACACCAGGCCUUAAAAAAAAGUGUGAAGAAAAAUAAGGAAAGGAAAAAAAAUUACAAUUUCUAGAGGUGUCUAGAAACAUGAACCCCCUCCAACUUGUACUUGCCUUGGAGACAACAUCGGCAUUGGUGAUGUCACAUCAACCCCAUUGGAGACAAAUGAGGUUUGUUCCAAUCUUUUCUUGAAGAGCUCCUGUCAGAGAGUUGCCCUGCAGUGUAGCCAGCUGAAUUUGUAGAGGAGGGGGAAAUCUUUCCACACCCUCUAGCACUCUGGUCCCAAUGCUCAGAAAUGGUCAAAAGGAGUGUUAGGAGUUGAUGCCUUUCUCCUGUCAGGAAAAAAAUAAGGAGGAAACCAGACAGUAGCAGUAUAAACCUAAGGUUUGUCUAGACCUUGAUUAGGGGAGCAAUUCUGUCCCCUCCACUCAAAAAUGACAUAUUAGAAUUGGAAAAGUCUCAGAAAAAGACAACAGUGAUAAAACAGUUGCCAUAAAAGAAAAAAUACCAAGUGUACAAACAUUCUCCAAAUUUAAAGACAACUGAAAUAGACUAUGAUAGUCUACCAAAUUAGGAGUGGCAUGUGGAGAGCUUCCAGGGUGUUUCCCUGUCUCUGCUAAGGCAACAGCUGAGAAAUGCAGAACAAAGCCACAGAAAGGAGCCACACACAGAACAAAGCAAUGGCAUGUACUCCACUGCACAAGAGUCCGUGCAUCUGCAGGUCUCCUUCAUAGGGUAUGGUGGGUACAAAAAAUUUAUAUAGGUUCAUGGGGAAAACAAGAAAGGUCACAGAAACAACAACAAAAAAAAAUUACUGUAAGCAAAGGCAGCUUAUCCAUCUCAUGGACUUCCUGAACAGGCUGGAGAAGUGUUGGGGGGUAGCAUUGCAAAAUACAUACUUUGCCCUUUCUUCUCCUCUGGCCAUUGACAGGGAAGAGGGUACUGGGCUAGAUAAAUCACCGAUCUGAGCCAGUGUUGCCGUUCUUGCAUUCCUGCCAUUGUUGAAGUGAACAGCUAAACUUUUCCUGAUUUUAACAGGUCUGGAUUUAAUUCCACCUAACUUUCUUAGAGAGGCUAAGUUUAUAAAGCAAGCUACAAUAAAAAGUUUUGUAUGCAGCUUGCAAAGCAAAGCAAACAAUCAUGUUCUUAACUCAACUUACUUAAGGCAAAUCAGCCAAAUUAAAGCAUCUAUAUAUACACAGAUAGUGUCUCAUUGCUACAAGGAAAUAUAAUUCUCAGGAUUUCUCCUCAGUCCCUGCUGAAGCCUAGGAGGAAGCUGUCAAUCUCUCCAUUACUGCUGAACAUCAUCUGGUGGGAUCCAGACUGUUUUGCAACCCGCAUUCUAAAUUCUGGGUGUUUGUUUGUUUGUUUUGUUUCAUUUUCAGCUGUGUUGUCUCCAACUAAAACAAACAAACAAAAAAACUACAGAUUUUUACCUGAAUAAGCAAUGCUUCCCACAGGGGAACCUCCACUGGGGCUUAUGGAAGGUGCUGUUCUAUCCCAAGAGUUGGACCUGUGUGAACACUGGGGUAGUCUCUUCAUUGACUGUAACACCACAAGUGAGAAAUUAAGUGAUACCAGAGGCCACAGUCCAACGGAUCCAGGACCAAACCUGAAACCUCAGACAUGGCAAGGGAAGAAUUGCCUCAUGAAUUUAAAACAGAUCUCUGAAAGCACAGCAAUUGAACCAAUCUUACCACAACUACCCCCAGCAAACCUCAGUCAUACAAAGCUUUCCUUCACGCUUGAGUUGGAAUUUAGCUGGAGCAAAGACGAAAGAAUCUAAUUUCUUGUUUGAAUAAAGAGAAACACUGAUGAUAUCCUAGCAGGGCAAGUUUCCCUGCCCUGUCUGCUAUGUCACAGGAACCAGCUGUAGAGACAAGAUGUUUCGUUCAGAUCGUUCUCUGUAAUUACCUAGGAAUAUCUCUUGUUUACUUUGGUGGAAACACAGGUGACGUCCCACCCUUGCAUGCAGAGCAUGGAGUGCACCUCUCUUUUACCUGUACUGGCAAAAACACACAGAAGAUAAAGAGAUUACAAAAGUUUCUUUCAGCAUUCUGGUCAGGCUGCACCCUAGGAAUUUGAGAGCGAGGAUGUGCAUAGACAAGUCCAGAGCACAUCAAGCAACUGCCAGCAUUGCCAGCUUGUCUCCUUUCAGCUGUAUCAAGCCAAACAUAAGGACAAGACAUCAACCUCCUUUAAAAAAAAAGGGUGCAGUGCAGUUACCCUGCUGCAGAGCAGCUCCUCAAGCACAGCUCUCAAGAGUAAGCACUGUAAACCAAGGACUGACGGAUUUGGUUUCUGCAGGACCAGGGCUGAGGUUUCUGGUCUGGGGAAAGAAGACUCUACCUCACCCAGCAGCAGGUUCUCUUCAAAGCUGCAUGCUGCUGCAUCAUUUUCGUAGUCAUUUUCUCAUCUAUCAGCACCAUUUGGAUUAAUUGAGCUGCACAGAGUCUUCUGCAGACCUGCUCUACAUCCAAUUAUCCUGAGGUGAUGAGGUGAUCACCAAGCCCCUGGUUUUGGUUUGGGGUAGCACAUGUUCACAGUCCUCAGUACCUGCCCAGCAGCAGUCUGGCCCUAUCAAAGUGCUCUGGAUUUACAUCCCAGCCACCUGAAAGAAGCAACUCCACCUUUUGUUUUAAUAACAAAAAGACUACUUGUGGGAAAUUUGGGAGCUCUCCAGCUGUGCUAAAGGGUGAGGAGAAAGGGGUGCUUCUUGCUCUGCACAUGUCUGGUCCACUCCAGCCCCCUGGUCCCAUCAGCUCUCACACCUCUGGAUGUAGCUGCUCGAGUCUUGGACAGCCCUCACAUUUGCCAUGCCGAGACACCGUGUUUAAUUUAUAUUGGUGAGGUAAAACUGCUGCACUCAUCCUUUCUCAUGGAAGGUGCUCUAAUAGGGCUGAGGUUAUUAUUUAUUUUUUUUAUUUUGAAUGUAAAUUAUGAAAGCAUAGCUGGGUUUAAUCAAACAAGCUGUGUCAUUCAAUACCAAAAAUGUAGUUAGCAAAACAGCAAGACUUCAAACCUUCUUCAUCUUCUCUGUAUUUGGUUGGGGAAGGAAGGGAAAGUAAAUGAACUUUGUAAAAGCACAAGGGGAUUUUUUUUUACAAGAUCUUUUGUGAGGUUGAAAACACUAGCUUAAUUGUACAAGACAUUCUGUUCUCUGGGUGCAAAUAGCUGAUAUUAUUUAAAUUGCUGUAUACUUAGAAAGAAAACCAUUUUUUUUCUAUCUAGAGUCCAAGUUGUCUCAGAAUAAAAUGUACAGCAGUACAGACUGGAA